rnacentral:rRNA from 1 species
AGAGUUUGAUCCUGGCUCAGAUUGAACGCUGGCGGCAUGCCUUACACAUGCAAGUCGAACGGCAGCGCGGGGGCAACCCUGGCGGCGAGUGGCGAACGGGUGAGUAAUACAUCGGAACGUGUCCUGGAGUGGGGGAUAGCUCGGCGAAAGCCGGAUUAAUACCGCAUACGCUCUGAGGAGGAAAGCGGGGGAUCUUCGGACCUCGCGCUCAAGGGGCGGCCGAUGGCGGAUUAGCUAGUUGGUGGGGUAAAGGCCUACCAAGGCGACGAUCCGUAGCUGGUCUGAGAGGACGACCAGCCACACUGGGACUGAGACACGGCCCAGACUCCUACGGGAGGCAGCAGUGGGGAAUUUUGGACAAUGGGGGAAACCCUGAUCCAGCAAUGCCGCGUGUGUGAAGAAGGCCUUCGGGUUGUAAAGCACUUUUGUUCGGGAAGAAAUCCUUCGAGCUAAUACCUUGAGGGGAUGACGGUACCGGAAGAAUAAGCACCGGCUAACUACGUGCCAGCAGCCGCGGUAAUACGUAGGGUGCGAGCGUUAAUCGGAAUUACUGGGCGUAAAGCGUGCGCAGGCGGUUCGCUAAGACCGAUGUGAAAUCCCCGGGCUUAACCUGGGAACUGCAUUGGUGACUGGCGGGCUAGAGUAUGGCAGAGGGGGGUAGAAUUCCACGUAGCAGUGAAAUGCGUAGAGAUGUGGAGGAAUACCGAUGGCGAAGGCAGCCCCCUGGGCCAAUACUGACGCUCAUGCACGAAAGCGUGGGGAGCAAACAGGAUUAGAUACCCCCGUAGUCC